rnacentral:tRNA from 1 species
GUGGGGAUUGGUUCAGUGGUAGAGCUCUUGCCUAGCAUGCAUGAAGCUCUGGGUUCGAUCCCCAGUACA